GCCGCGGUAAUACGUAGGCGCGAGCGUUGUCGGAAUUAUUGGGCGUAAAGGGCUCGUAGGCGGCUGGUCGCGUCUGUCGUGAAAUCCUCUGGCUCAACUGGGGGCUUGCGGUGGGUACGGGCUGGCUUGAGUGCGGUAGGGGAGAUUGGAACUCCUGGUGUAGCGGUGGAAUGCGCAGAUAUCAGGAAGAACACCGAUGGCGAAGGCAGGUCUCUGGGCCGUCACUGACGCUGAUGAGCGAGAGCGUGGGGAGCGAACAGGAUUAGAUACCCUGGUAGUCCACGCCGUAAACGUUGGGCACUAGGUGUGGGGUUUGUCUUUAUGGCUGGUUCCGCGCCGUAGCUAACGCAUUAAGUGCCCCGCCUGGGGAGUACGGCCGCAAGGCUAAAACUCAAAGGAAUUGACGGGGCCCCGCACAAGCGGCGGAGCAUGCGGAUUAAUUCGAUGCAACGCGAAGAACCUUACCAAGGCUUGAAAUGCGAGGAAAUCCGGUGGAGACAUCGGGUCGGUUUUGUCCGGUCUCGUGCAGGUGGUGCAUGGUUGUCGUCAGCUCGUGUCGUGAGAUGUUGGGUUAAGUCCCGCAACGAGCGCAACCCUUGUCUUAUGUUGCCAGCGGUUCGGCCGGGGACUCAUGAGAGACUGCCGGGGUUAACUCGGAGGAAGGUGGGGAUGACGUCAAAUCAUCAUGCCCCUUAUGUCUUGGGCUUCACGCAUGCUACAAUGGCCGGUACAGCGGGUUGCGAUGUCGUAAGGCGGAGCGAAUCCCUGAAAGCCGGUCUCAGUUCGGAUUGGGGUCUGCAACUCGACCCCAUGAAGUCGGAGUCGCUAGUAAUCGCGGAUCAGCAACGCCGCGGUGAAUGCGUUCCCGGGGCUUGUACACACCGCCCGUCACGUCAUGAAAGGCGGCAACACCCGAAGCCCGCGGCCUAACCUUUUGGGGGGAGCGGUCGAAGUGGU
rnacentral:rRNA from 1 species